rnacentral:pre_miRNA from 1 species
AUGCGGAGCAACCUGUUUUUAUGUAGGGAUAACUUACUCUAAAAGAAAUGAAUCCUAGAUUGUUUUCCCUUCAAGUAAACUUCUUGU